UGCAAAGGGAAGCAGAGUCAAAUUAAAGCCUCCCAACCACGGCUCGUGGUGCUGCGGAUGGGGCGUCCCUCCCUCCCUCCCUCGGCUUGAUGAAGGUGGGUGUGAGAUCCCACAGGACUGUCUGGAAGAGAGCCCGUGGAAGUCACUGUAUUUUGCAGAAGCUGGAGGCGAAGCAGAAGGUUUCUUCCUAAGCUGAGUGAAUCUGGACACUUUCUAACUUGGAACAAAUCACACAGACAAAAUGAAGAUAAAAUGCCCCCAUCCAGGUUGCAGCCUGACACUUCUGCCUCUUUUCCCUCUGGGUAUAUCUUACUGGGUCUUUGCAGGUCAUGGCUGGACUGUUGUGGUGGGGUAACUGAAACAAACCGAAGAGACUGAUGGAAAAAAAAUCAAAAAGCAAGG
ensembl:lincRNA